GACCGGGUAGCUCAAAUGGUAGAGUAGCCGACAUGUAUUCGGAAAGUUCUGGGUUCGAAUCCCAGUCCGUGCA
rnacentral:tRNA from 1 species